UACGUAGGGUGCAAGCGUUGUCCGGAAUUAUUGGGCGUAAAGAGCUCGUAGGCGGUCUGUCGCGUCGGAUGUGAAAAUCCAGGGCUCAACCCUGGACCUGCAUUCGAUACGGGCAGACUAGAGUUCGGUAGGGGAGACUGGAAUUCCUGGUGUAGCGGUGAAAUGCGCAGAUAUCAGGAGGAACACCGGUGGCGAAGGCGGGUCUCUGGGCCGAAACUGACGCUGAGGAGCGAAAGCGUGGGGAGAAAACAGG
rnacentral:rRNA from 1 species